GCAUGAAAUAAAAGUUUCAUAGAAAAAAAUUACAACUUCUUUUGAUCUUUUUUAUAUUUUUCCACAGGUUAAUGAAAUGUAGUAAAUUAAGAAGAGGUUACUACUGAAAUAGAGAUAAUUAGGGCAUAUUUAAAUUUAUGUCGUUUUCCUCUUUGCAAUGGAAUGACCCAUAUGUAUAUAGUUAGUAUAAUUUAAGAAAGUAUCGCACAAAUUUGUCAAAAUGACUGUGCGAACUAUCUUAUGGACAUGAUCAUCCAAUUUCCGAAAGCGGCGAAAAAAACCCAUUAAAAAAAAACAGUAUUUGUUUCAAUAGCAAAGCAUCGUUGCUUUUAAAAAAAACCUAAUCAAAUUCAAAUGUAAAAAUAUUUGUUUCAAAGGUUUCGUAUUACAUUUUCUUUCGAUUACGUUUUCCACAUGUAAAAGUAUUUGCCACAACAAUUUCGCAUUUCUAAUGACUGUUUCUCCAUACGACGACAUUGAAGUUGACGUUUACGUUGUUCCAUCGAUCAUUCUAGCAGAAACACGUUUUGCGGCGGUAGCAAUUUUCAUUUGUGGAUUAUAGAUAAAUGUUUGUACUACAAACACAAAUUUUAGUGAAAGUGAAUAUUUUAAAACAUUUUACGCUUAGUGAGGCUGUGCAAAAGGAACUUAGUUUGCAUUUUCAUUGGUCUUCCUGCUGCAUGACGCGCUGCUCAACGACUCCGUGCAAAAGUUGAUUUUCCAGUGCAUUUUAAUUUGAGGCGACAUUUUUGCGUGAAAGGACUAUUCCAAAGUAACGCUGUGCGACAGGUGAUUUUCCAGUGAUUUUUUUAAAUUAUCAGUAUGAGUGAUGAAGUGAUACCAUCGACGUCUACGGAGCUGUCAUUAUUUGCCGAGCAACGUCCGUUGGAAGAUGAGUUCCCUACAACCAAAAAUGUCAAAAAUCAGUCAGUCAGAUAAACUGAACAUGGCAUAUUACGACGCCAUGCUUGGUGCAAGUGAUGCAAGAGAAUACGGAAGGACAGUUGUAUAGCUUGGGUGAUUACACCCAAUAUAUGAAAUAUAAUAAUAACUUUUUGGCACAGCAGGUGUUUUUAUCAUUUACAUUAAAACAUCUCCAAUAAAUAAUAUAUCGUCGUUUAAAGUACAAACCCGCGUAUCAACAAACCGCGUAAGUUAAUUUGCUUAAAUUAUUUUCUAGAUAGUAAAAAUACUCAUAUUUCAAAAUGGUUUUCUUUUUUUUAAAGCAAUCGAAUUUC
rnacentral:lncRNA from 1 species